UAUUUUAAAGAGAGUUUGAUCCUGGCUCAGGACGAACGCUGGCGGCGUGCCUAAUACAUGCAAGUCGAACGAACGGAGGAAGAGCUUGCUCUUCCAAAGUUAGUGGCGGACGGGUGAGUAACACGGGGGCAACCUGCCUGUAAGUUGGGGAUAACUCCGGGAAACCGGGGCUAAUACCGAAUGAUAGAAUGUGGCGCAUGCCACGCUUUUGAAAGAUGGUUUCGGCUAUCGCUUACAGAUGGGCCCGCGGUGC
rnacentral:rRNA from 1 species